CCGGCAAACUCCGUGCCAGCAGCCGCGGUAAUACGGAGGGGGCAAGCGUUGUUCGGAAUUAUUGGGCGUAAAGGGCAUGUAGGCGGUUCAGUAAGUUAAAGGUGAAAUACCAGGGCUUAACCCUGGAGCUGCUUUUAAUACUGCUGGAYUGGAGUUCGGAAGAGGAUAGCGGAAUUCCUAGUGUAGAGGUGAAAUUCGUAGAUAUUAGGAGGAACACCAGUGGCGAAGGCGGCUAUCUGGUCCGAUACUGACGYUGAGGUGCGAAAGCGUGGGGAGCAAMCAGGAUUAGAUACCCUGGUAGUCCACGCKGUAAACGAUGAGUGCUUAAUGUGGGGGUGCGAGCCUCYGUGUUGWAGCUAACGCGAUAAGCACUCCGCCUGGGGACUACGGUCGCAAGACUAAAACUCAAAGGAAUUGACGGGGACCUGCACAAGCGGUGGAGCAUGUGGUUUAAUUCGAUGCAACGCGAAGAACCUUACCACUCCUUGACAUGGGGACUAGAUCCUUCUUAACGGAAGGGCGCAGUUAGGCUGGGUCYCACACAGGUGCUGCAUGGCUGUCGUCAGCUCGUGUCGUGAGAUGUUGGGUUAAGUCCCGCAACGAGCGUAACCCUCAUUCUUAGUUGCCAGCGGGUAAUGCCGGGCACUUUAAGAAAACUGCCRGUGGUAAACUGGAGGAAGGUGGGGAUGAUGUCAAGUCAGCACGGCCCUUAUGGGGUGGGCUACACACGUGCUACAAUGGUAGCUACAAUGGGUUGCAAUGUCGCAAGGCGGAGCUAAUCCUYAAAAGYYAUCUCAGUUCGGAUUGUCCUCUGCAACUCGAGGGCAUGAAGUCGGAAUCGCUAGUAAUCGUGGAUCAGCAUGCCACGGUGAAUACGUUCUCGGGUCUUGUACACACUGCCCGUCACGCCAUG
rnacentral:rRNA from 1 species